rnacentral:rRNA from 1 species
CAGUAGCCGCGGGAAUACGUAGGGUGCGAGCGUUAAUCGGAAUUACUGGGCGUAAAGCGUGCGCAGGCGGUUUCUUAAGUCUGAUGUGAAAGCCCCCGGCUCAACCGGGGAGGGUCAUUGGAAACUGGGAAACUUGAGUGCAGAAGAGGAGAGUGGAAUUCCACGUGUAGCGGUGAAAUGCGUAGAGAUGUGGAGGAACACCAGUGGCGAAGGCGACUCUCUGGUCUGUAAUUGACGCUGAGGAGCGAAAGCGUGGGGAGCGAACAGGAUUAGAUACCCCCGUAGUCCCUGUCUCUUAUAC